AGUGGUAGCUUUACACUGUGGUGGAACCUCACAUGAUUAAGCAUGAUUUUGAUCAUUUGGAGGACAUUAGAUACAAGCAAGAAGAUGAAACUUCGGAGAAAAACAUAAAACAAAUGGCAGCUGAAGGGGACAUCUGUCCGAGACAAAUGAGUAAGUUACAGCAAAGUGAAGCAAAGAAGAGGGCAUCUAGAAACAGAAGUAUACCUCCCAUAGGAGUACGAACAAGGAGUAUUAAAUCCAAAACUCAAGGUACAAUAUGGAUUUUUCGGGAGGGCGAUUGGCAAGGUACAAUGGUGGAGGAUACAGUUCACUCUCACGAUGAAGCAUAAAUGUGUGUAGCAAGAUUUUCUAGUCUCUGCAAUACAUGCAAAGUGUGAUGCUACUGAAAGAUUAAAAUUGUGGGACUCAUUAAAACAUUAGCUGAUAUCAAUUCUAUCCCUUGGAUAGUAGGAGGAGAUUUCAAUGUUAUUAUUUCAGGGGAAGGAGGACUUCCUGUGACAAUCAAUGAAACAGUCGAUUUCUCUAUGUGUAUCACUUCAUGCGGAUUAAUAGAUUUGAGAUUUAUAGACAACAAAUGCACUUGGUGGAAUGGUAGAACUGAAGAGAACUGUAUAUUCAAAAGACUGGAUAGAAUUCUGUGCAAUCAAGAAUUUUUAGAUCUCCUUCCAUCAAGUGAAGUUUCUCACUCGAUAAGGCAUAGUUCUGAUCAUGCACGCCUACAUUUGGAAUGCAGUGACAAUGAGCAGCCAACAAUCAGAUCUUUUAAGUUUCUUAACUUCUGGACUUCUAAUAAAACUUUUAGUGAUGUAGUGGAGCAGAACUGGACAGCUGAUUUUACUGGCAAUCUCUGUUAUGUCUAUCAACACAAUUAAAAAGGAUUAAAAGUGCUUUAAGUCGGUGGAGUAAAGAUACUUAUGAAAAUAUAUUUCAACAAAUUGCUAUUAAUGAAGAUACUAUUCAACGUAAAGGAGUUGCAGUUUCAGAUUAAUACAUCUAUGUCCAAUAACAGUUAUUCAGAUCACAUGCUGAGCUUAAUAGAUACUUGCAUCUGAGGAGAAAUAUUAGAAGCAAAAAUCAGGUAUGAGGUUGUUUAAAGAUUGAGAAAGAAUAGAUUACUCUCUUUUGGUGGAAGAUUCAUACUGAUCUCUCAUGUGCUACAGACCAUGCCCAUCUAUUUGUUAUCAGCUAUGAAUCCACUAAAAGGAGUCAUUAACAACAUACAUCAGAUAUUUGCCAAGUUUUUCUGGAGCAAUACAACAGGAAUAAAAGGCAAACACUGGGUAGCAUGAGACAAACAUUGUUUCCUAAAAUAAGAAGGAGGGUUUAGAUUCAAAUCUCUGCAUGUUACGCCUAAUGCACUCUUUUUUAAGUUAUGGUGGAAUGAUAGGACUUCAAUAAUCUUAUGGAGUCAAUACAUGGUUAACAAGUAUUGCAAGAAGUUAAACCCAGUAAUAGCUACAGGAAGAGGGGGUUCACAUGAUUCGAAGAAGAUAAUUUUACUCAGAGAAGAUGUAUAACGCCUGACAGUGGCGGAGCUAGUAAGAGCCAACGGGGUUCAUUUGAACCCCCUUCGGUGAAAAAUUAAAUUAUAUAUACAAGGUGAAAAUUAUUUUUUAUGUAUAUAUAGUAGACGUUGAACCCCCUUAUCUUCUUCGGUUGUCUGCUUCUUUAUAUUUUUGAACCCCCCUUUGUUAAAAUUUUGGCUCCGCCACUGACGCCUGAUUUGGUUGAAACUAAGACAAGGAAAUUUCAGUUUUUGAUUUGAAAGCUAGAUGAACCUCGAUGCCUUAUACUUUAUCCUACCUGAAGUACUGAGAGAGGAAGAGAUAGAGGUCACAAUCUUUGUACCAGAUGGAACAUGGAAUACUAAGCUAUUGCAUGAUAGUUUGCCAGAAUAGUUUGUUUAGCAUAUUACAAAAAGGUAAAACCUCCUAUAUAUUCUUGAAGAGGGAAAUGAUACAAUUUUUUGGGCUUUGGGAAAUAUGGAGGAGCAGAUGCAGUGUGAAAUAUGACAAAGACAAACAUGACAUGAGAAGAUCCCUUUCCUUAAUCUCUUUUAAUCUUGCUAACUUUGUGAAUUCUCAUUUUCAGAACAUCAAGAUUGAUGCUAACUGGAAAAACAUAUUGACUGUGAAAGUGAUGAUUCGCUUUCGUAAACAGCAUCUCGAAUCGCAAAGAUGUCACUUGGAUAAUCUCCAGCAGGUAACCUCCAUGAUUGAGUACCAGAGUUGGUUUGAGGCUAUCUCGUGGGGCUUCCGUGAGUCAGUUGUACUUGCACCAUGCCCUGCAUAUAUAUCCACAUAGGAGCAAUACAACCACCUAACCUUUGCCACAAUGCUAUGUGAUAAUGAGAUUCUCGAUAAUAAGUAUAACAUGAAAGUUGGCGAUUUGGCACAGGAAAUUUCAGCACCUACUUUGCUCCCUUUAACACCGAUGGAGUCUACCUUCGAGGCUGGGAGAUUCGAGAAAAGAAGGGUAGAAAAGUGCAAGUUGAAGGCUCAAAGAAUGUGGUUCUGCAGAAGCUGGUUGCUACCACAAAUAUCGAAGAGGAGUUGGUUCUAGAGGAGUUUUCUCCAAUUGUCUAGGGAUUAUUCACCAUCUUCACAUCUGGUGCUCGCUUCCAUGACAUUCGACCACACAACAAAAUUGAAUUACUAGGGACUAUCCCAUUUUGUAGUUGUGUUGAUAAUUGAUUCGACACAUGGCAAGAUUUUGAAGUUGAUUCAUGUGUGCCUUUAUUUGUUGAAUCUGAAGAGCUAACAUAAAUUUCACAUGAAGGAUCAUGGUUGAUUCCUUUUCAUGGUUGUGAGUCUAUAUUGCUGCAUGAUAAGAACUCCACGAUGGCUAA